rnacentral:rRNA from 2 species
ACGGAAGGCAGCAGUGGGGAAUAUUGCACAAUGGGCGCAAGCCUGAUGCAGCGAUGCCGCGUGAGGGAAGAAGGUUUUCGGAUUGUAAACCUCUGUCAACAGGGACGAAAAUGACGGUACCUGACUAAGAAGCCCCGGCUAACUACGUGCCAGCAGCCGCGGUAAUACGUAGGGGGCAAGCGUUAUCCGGAUUUACUGGGUGUAAAGGGAGCGUAGACGGUUUGGCAAGUCUGAAGUGAAAUGCGGGGGCUCAACUCCUGAACUGCUUUGGAAACUGUCGAACUAGAGUGCAGGAGAGGUAAGUGGAAUUCCUAGUGUAGCGGUGAAAUGCGUAGAUAUUAGGAGGAACACCAGUGGCGAAGGCGGCUUACUGGACUGUAACUGACGUUGAGGCUCGAAAGCGUGGGGAGCAAACAGGAUUAGAUACCCUGGUA